GAUGAACGCUGGCGGCGUGCUUAACACAUGCAAGUCGAACGAUGAAGCCCAGCUUGCUGGGUGGAUUAGUGGCGAACGGGUGAGUAACACGUGAGUAACCUGCCCUUAACUCUGGGAUAAGCCUGGGAAACUGGGUCUAAUACCGGAUAGGAGCGUCCACCGCAUGGUGGGUGUUGGAAAGAUUUAUCGGUUUUGGAUGGACUCGCGGCCUAUCAGCUUGUUGGUGAGGUAAUGGCUCACCAAGGCGACGACGGGUAGCCGGCCUGAGAGGGUGACCGGCCACACUGGGACUGAGACACGGCCCAGACUCCUACGGGAGGCAGCAGUGGGGAAUAUUGCACAAUGGGCGCAAGCCUGAUGCAGCGACGCCGCGUGAGGGAUGACGGCCUUCGGGUUGUAAACCUCUUUCAGUAGGGAAGAAGCGAAGGUGACGGUACCUGCAGAAGAAGCACCGGCUAACUACGUG
rnacentral:rRNA from 1 species